rnacentral:rRNA from 1 species
CCAAUAGCGUAUAUUAAAGUUGUUGCAGUUAAAAAGCUCGUAGUUGAACUUCGGGCUCGGCCGGGCGGUCCGCCCACAGGGCGAGUACGGCUCGCGCGUCGGGUCCCACCUUCUGGCGAACGCGGAUGCCAUUAAGUUGGGGUCCGUGGGGAACCAGGAUCUUUACCUUGAAAAAAUUAGAGUGUUUAAAUCAGGCUUCAACGCGUGAAUACAUUAGCAUGGAAUAUUGAAAUAGGACGGCGGUUCUAUUUUGUUGGUUUCUGGGACCACCGUAAUGAUUAAUAGGGAUAGUUGGGGGCAUUCGUAUUCAAUUGUCAGAGGUGAAAUUCUUGGAUUUAUUGAAGACGGACUACUGCGAAAGCAUUUGCCAAGGAUGUUUUCAUUAAUCAAGAACGAAAGUUGGGGGAUCGAAGACGAUCAGAUACCGUCGUAGUCUCAACCAUAAACUAUGCCGACUGGGAAUCGGGCGAUGUUAAUUUUUGUGACUCGCUCGGCGCCCCGAG